GACGUAGGGGGCGAGCGUUGUCCGGAUUUAUUGGGCGUAAAGCGCACGCAGGCGGCCGUGCAAGUCGGAUGUGAAAACACGAGGCUCAACCUCGUGCCUGCAUUCGAUACUGCUCGGCUCGAGGCAGGUAGGGGAGAUCGGAAUUCCCGGUGUAGCGGUGGAAUGCGCAGAUAUCAGGAGGAACACCAAUGGCGAAGGCAGCUCUCUGGUACGUGACUGACGCUGAGACGCGAAAGCGUGGGGAUCAAACAGGAUUAGAAACCCCGGUAGU
rnacentral:rRNA from 1 species